rnacentral:rRNA from 1 species
UCCUACGGGACGCAGCAGUGGGGGAUAUUGCACAAUGGGGGGAACCCUGAUGCAGCGACGCCGCGUGGGUGAAGGAGCGUUUCGGCGCGUAAAGCCCUAUCGGCAGGGAAGAAGAUGACGGUACCUGACCAAGAAGCCCCGGCUAACUACGUGCCAGCAGCCGCGGUAAUACGUAGGGGGCAAGCGUUAUCCGGAUUUACUGGGUGUAAAGGGUGCGUAGGUGGCAGGGCAAGUCAGAUGUGAAAGCCCGGGGCCCAACCCCGGUACUGCAUUUGAAACUGUCCGGCUGGAGUGCAGGAGAGGUA